CGAGAGGGGGCAAGCGUUGUUCGGAAUUACUGGGCGUAAAGGGCGCGUAGGCGGCCUGCUAAGUCGAACGUGAAAUCCCCGGGCUCAACCCGGGAACUGCGUCCGAUACUGGCAGGCUUGAAUCCGGGAGAGGGAUGUGGAAUUCCAGGUGUAGCGGUGAAAUGCGUAGAUAUCUGGAGGAACACCGGUGGCGAAGGCGGCAUCCUGGACCGGUAUUGACACUGAUGCGCGAAAGCCAGGGGAGCAAACGGGAUUAGAUACCCCGGUAGUCCUGGCCCUAAACGAUGAAUGCUUGGUGUGGCGGGUAUCGAUCCCUGCCGUGCCGAAGCUAACGCAUUAAGCAUUCCGCCUGGGGAGUACGGUCGCAAGGCUG
rnacentral:rRNA from 1 species